UUUCCUUCAGAAUAACUAGAACACGGAAUAAAGCUGUUAUAUUCGUAAAGCGAUUGGUUAGAGGAAUUGUGGGACGAAACGUCUUCAUUAUUCUCAAAAUUUCAAUGAGUGCGACGUCUUGCUUGCUUGAAUGAAGGUAAACAUUGAAUGUGUGCUCCAAAUGGGCCAUUUUUGGUAAGCAGAAGUGGCGCUGUGGGAUGAACCA
rnacentral:ncRNA from 1 species